AGAGUUUGAUCCUGGCUCAGAUUGAACGCUGGCGGCAUGCCUUACACAUGCAAGUCGAACGGCAGCGCGGGAGCAAUCCUGGCGGCGAGUGGCGAACGGGAGAGUAAUAUAUCGGAACGUGCCCAGUAGUGGGGGAUAGCCCGGCGAAAGCCGGAUUAAUACCGCAUACGACCUGAGGGUGAAAGCGGGGGAUCGCAAGACCUCGCGCUACUGGAGCGGCCGAUAUCAGAUUAGCUAGUUGGUGGGGUAAAGGCCUACCAAGGCAACGAUCUGUAGUUGGUCUGAGAGGACGACCAGCCACACUGGGACUGAGACACGGCCCAGACUCCUACGGUAGGCAGCAGUGGGGAAUUUUGGACAAUGGGCGCAAGCCUGAUCCAGCAAUGCCGCGUGCAGGAAGAAGGCCUUCGGGUUGUAAACUGCUUUUGUCAGGGAAGAAAUCUUCUGGGCUAAUACCCCGGGAGGAUGACGGUACCUGAAGAAUAAGCACCGGCUAACUACGUGCCAGCAGCCGCGGUAAUAC
rnacentral:rRNA from 1 species